CGUUGAGGUUCUGACCUCUCAACCAUCACCAUGAUUUAUGGUAGAUGGACACACUUGAUAGAAAUCCCUGAAAGGAAAUAUCCACCGCUGGUCGAUAUGUGUGCAGGUGGAUGUUGUUGUGAUUAUAAUGGAUUUCCAGGGAACAACUACAACUGAUGUUCAAGGACAUUGCAAGUUCACCGAGACCAAAUGUUACAAGCGUUCAAAAAAUUAACAAAGGGAAAUCAAUCUCGGUUAAUAUGGCGGAAAGUUGUAUAACAAUGAUGCUUCUUGUGGAUAUGGUUCAUUUGAAAGGCGUGGGGAUAUGGUGGGCACAGAGGUGGUUUCUCUAACGGAGAUGAGGAACACCCUAGAAGGGCAUUAGAACGACACAGUGAAACUAGACAUGGCGUGAAGGAUCUGUCGUGGAAAUUAGGGAACUGCUGAUGAUGAAAUUGCUCGGGAUACAGAGCAAUCCAAUGAGAAUGAUCGAAGACCUUAUCCGCAGAGAAGUUCCCACGGGAGGAGGAUAAUACGAAAGUCAAUAGUGAGAAUCCUGAGACUGAGGAAGAGAAGCAACCCAAAGAUAAGUUAUAUACGGGAAGAAAAAACAAAAAACAUGGUUUAAAUACGGUUUCGGCUUGGUAGGAAGGCUCGCAAAAGAGGUGUGAAGGCGUCCCCUGUAUCCGCCAAGAAAAAGGAAAAGAAGCUUUAGUUCUUCCAAAAUCAUCUUGAGUAAAUCGGCAUUGUGCUCGACUAAUAAUCAUAUAAUCCUAUUCUUGAAUGUGGUCAGGUUAUAAUCUGUUGCAUUUGUGCAGUGGUCAGCUACUAACCAUAUAAUCUCUAUUCUUGAAUAUUCUUAUAUUAGUAUCCUUUGUAAUUGUACUGAUUUUCGAUACAAUGUUAGGGUGUUUUAUUACAAGGAGGUGGUAGAGUCAGAGAAAAUUGAUGUUCUCAUAUCUUUAGACUUUAGUUGAAUGAAAACCCAUUAGCGCCUGCAGUUUUAGUUUGUGAUGUUGCUUGAUGAUAGAUAUAGUAACCUCUUGUGGAUUCGUAAUUUGAUUACAUUUAGUUGGUACCUAACAGGGCACAAUAUACCUUGCUCAUGUUGAAUUUCGUAAUUAAAAUCCAUGGUAUGGAUGAAUAUGUGUGGUGACAACCUACAUUAGCAGUGAUGCAAUCACAUGUGGUGGUAUGGUGACUACCAAGAUGGCACCAUGCCUAGCUGCUGUGAAGGAGUCAAGUCUCUCCCAGAAGCUGCUCAAACCACUCUUGACGUUAAAGCUUUUAUAGCCAAGUUUUUUGGAAGUUGUGUUGAUGUUAUCCACAACGAGAUCGAUAUGGAAGUCGUUUAAGCUUUUCAGCUAAGUUCGUGGAAGUUGCGUUGAUUUUUUAUCCACAACAACAUGAUCGAGUUCGACGUAUGUUUAAGCUUUUAUAGAUAAGUUCGUGGAAGUUGUGUUGAUUUUUUAUCCGCAAUCUCCGUUCGGAAUGUUAUAGGUCAAAAAACGUAAUACUUAAAAUUAUGCAAAUGUGUUGUUGACACCUCCACUACUGCACUAAUUAAGUAUGUAUCUGUAAUAUUUUAUUAUCACAG